rnacentral:tRNA from 1 species
ACGGUAGUAGCGAAGCUGGCCGAACGUACCCCGACGAGCGGGGAUGGAGCAAAUACAAAACCAUAGUGCUAGGUCGUGAUCAGACUAUUGGCGCCCUUUGGGAAUAACUCCACACGCAGGUUCAAAUCCUGCCUACCGUG